rnacentral:lncRNA from 1 species
UUUCAAUCACUGCUGAUGACUUGCGGUUAUUGAGAACAUCAUUCACCUAAGCUAUGUUAACCACAUCAAACUAGCAUUUUGGCAGCGCAAAAAAAAAAGUUUUUAAAAUAUCAACAAAUAUUGCAUGUAAAAAAAAGAGAAAAAAAAGACCCAUUAUGUAAAUUCUAGUCUAAAAUAAUAGCAGGGGUGAAAUAUGUAAUGUUAUAUAUGUAACCGAUAUGAGAGGUGGGGGGGGGGGGCAAGGGUUCAGUUCCGUGUCAUGUUACUUUGAAAUAUGUUUAAUUGGUUAAUUAGGUUUCUGGUGGGGGAGGUAAAAUAGAAGGAGAAUGGAGGGCUGGUGUAUGACUGUGAGGUGGGGACUGAAUGGUGAAAGGGUCAGAAUGUCUGCAAGUGAAUUUGUGGUUCGAAUGACUAGUGUUUGGUUAACAGUAAUGGUUAGCUAAGGCGUUUGGAGAAAAAAGCUAGGUGAACUUGGGUAGCAGAUUGAAAGGGUAAGAAUGUGUUUUCAGAGUUUCUGAAUAAUGUCUGGUCUUGAACGAUCCUCUCCCUCCAGGUACAUUUGGCUUUAUUGUUAUAUUUACUCGUUUUCUUGCCUUUGUAAGAUGACAAUUAGAAACAACGUGAAGGUGAAAAAGGUAUUGAACUAAUUUGGGAAUUCAGAAACCAGUUUUUGUUCUGUUUUGAAGCUGGACACCUUCUUCUACAGGGACUGGUUUAGUUAACUGUCAGGCAUAGGUUUGAGAUUUUCAGGGCAUGUUAUCUUCAAUGUUACGUCUCUCCCACUACAAAACUCAAAGCUAAGCACCUCUUCUCUGGCCUCUUUAUGGCCAAGGAGACAUGUAAUUCAUAAUACGAGUUAGCUUGGCAGUUUUUACAUCUAUACACGAUAUCUGUGUAUAUAUAUUUGUGUGUGAAUGUGUGUAUGAAUAUAUAUCCGUAUGUAGGUAUGUAUGCGCAGACCUCUCGAAAGUAAACAGACACCUUUGUGAGAAAAUAAUGUCAUUUGGUGCAUUUAAUUACUUAAUCCUGUAUUUAGUAGACAUACCUUGUGUAUAAUGCAUUAACGAGUUUGAAGCACCAGGUAGCAACUGCACCAAUAAAAGGGUUAAUGUAGGGUGUCUAUUUAUUGUGUUUAUUUAUACAUACAUGCAUUUCUCUUAUUUGAGAAAUGAGUACAGGUUGGUGAUAUUUGCAUGGGAAUUCAGAUACGAAACAAAAUGAUGUGCAUGUGUAUAUGUGCAUAAUACACAGGGCCACAUGAAAUAUGCUUCAGGUGAUAUAUGUAUCUGUAUAUGCUCUACACACGUCUCAUGAUGUGUGUUUGUAAUUCUCUCGGUAUCUUGUCACUUUUUCAGGGUUUUAGCUCAGAAUAUUGCCAUUAAGAGUGUUUUACUAAUCCUACACCUUUCUCUUUGCAUUUUGCGUUCAUUAAACUUGCAUCCGUAACACUGCUUGACAUAAUUCAAAGCCAUCAUCUGUACGACUUCUUCAUCCCAUACGUGAUGUGUGUGUGUGGGUUGAGUGAUAACAAGGGUGAAAUUUACUAAUAUUAACUGUUAUUAAUUAACAUCAGAAAUAGAAAGAGGUAAUUGUUGAAACUCGUUUUUGACUUGAAGAAGACGAGUUGUGAAUUUAUUGCUUGCAAUUAAUUCAAAACUUGAUUUGGAGUUAUUUCAAAAUCAACUGGGGAUAAACAAGGAGACCGUCUUCUUUCUUUAUUAGUGCCAGGCAGAUCGACAUAUUAUCUUGUGAUGGAUAUACUGACUGAAAAAUUUGCUGCGAGCAUGUGUGUGUGUAUGUAUAGAUAAAGUAUAGUCGUCACUAAAGUGACGGAGGGUGCUAGUGAGCACCAGCAUUGCUAGAAAUAAGAGUUAAAAUAACUCUUAGCCCCAUGAGAGCACUUUUCCAAUGAUUGACAAGGGAGACAAGCUCUCUACCCACGGCAAUCAAGGUGGAAUCAUAUCACCACUGAUUUCAGAUCUGAUAAGACUGACAAGGCGAGUUAAGUUUUUAACCCUCGGUGACUGAGUAAUGGGUCACUGUUGUUAGUGCUAAGGUGUGUAAUAUGGCAUAUAUAGCCUGGCAUUUUUGAGUUAGUUCCCUUCAUGUCAGAACUGUCCAAUGUCCCUCAUUUUUGAACAGUUGAAAUAUGUUUAGGGCAUAUUUGAUCCUGUAAGAAGGCAGUAUUUAGUGCUAAUUUGCCAUGGGGAACCUUUCUCACUUUUGGUGAUAGUUGUUGAAAAACGCCAACAGUCGUUUGAAGGGACAUCCUCUCAGAAUGGUGAAUGUAUUUCCAGCUCCUUGGCUUGCAACACUGGACACCUAUUGACUGAAGUGCAAAAAUUCCUCCACGACAAAUUAACAGUGAACACGGCCUUUGUACCGGCUAAAUAUGUCCAAAUAUACUUGAGCUGAUCUAAAAUUUUUUAUUUAUUUACAUAUUCUAGAUCUUUCUCUUUGAUCAUUUAAAGUAAAGGUAAAUUUAUCUUCUUGUGUCAUGAGUGUUCUAGACUCAUAAGGGCCUGUUCCCCAGUUUCAUGGAGUAUUGAUUCCCCACCUGGAUAGGACGCCAGUCCAUCACUGGAUUACUCAUUUUUGCCUACUGAGUGGACAACUGGUGCAACAUAAAAUGAAGUGUUUUGCUCAAGAGCACAAUGUGUCACCCGGUCCAGGAAUGGAAACCACAAACCUUACGAUCAUGAGCCCAACACCCCAAACCAUUAAUCCAUGCACUUCCACAUUCUUUGAUUGUUUGGUGCGUAGUGGCAUGGGGUGGGUCUGUCGUGGAUGCUGUUGGGUUUGCUGUUUCUGUGUGGGAAUGUCUUUCUGUGUAUAUUCAAAAUUUCUUUGGAAUCAGUUUGUCCACAACUUGAUUAUUUUAGCCAGACACACAAAAGGGCAUUACCAGACACUAUACCCUACGCUUGACUUAGUAAUCUAAUCCACUGAAAUUUGGUUUGCAGUAAAGGGCCUAGUUCAGAUGCAUCCGUCUCUAGAUUGUGAAACAGUUUUGUCCAAAGAAGGGGCUCAGGUGUGGCUGUGUGGUUAAGAAGCUUGCUUCCUAGCCACAUGAUUUCAUGUUCGGUCCCACUUUGUGGCAUCUUGGGCACUUGUGGCUUCUACUGUAGUUCUGGAGCGACCAGUGCCUAGUGAAUAAAGCAAGUGGAUUUCAUUACUGGAAACUGAAAGAAGCUCCUCAUAUGCAUGCGCGUGCGUGCGUGCGUGUGUUACUGUCUCCUUGCCUUGACAUCACGUGGUAGUUGUAAAUGAGUGUCCCUGUCAUACAAGUGGUGUCUGUCACUUCUAAUCUUCUGGGAAAACAGGUUUGAUUAUGGGGGAGUAUUACCUUACUUGGGAACAGGUGAGGUUUGGUGACAGAAAGGGCAUCCAGCUGUAGAAAAUCUGCCUUGGCAAAUUCCUUCCAACUCCUGCCAGCAUAGACAAGUGGACAUUAAAUGAUUGUGGUGAUCUAGUUGUUGCUGUUUGUUUUGGUUUGAAUGUGAGACGUGCGAAGCUGAGAUCAUAUCGAAGCGUAGAGACUAGAAUGGAGGAAAUGGUUUUUCUUGUUAAAUAACCUUCUCCUCUUUAUUAUAUACACAUUGUUAUUUGAUUUGUGUAUUUCUGUGCAAUUUAUUUUCAUAUUUGUACCCAGAGAAGUAAAGCCAUUUCUUCUAACUGUUGGGGUUCCAGUUAAUUCAGAAAGAUUUUUUUUUGUUGAGCAUUGGGGUUUGAAGAGUUGGAGGUUAAUGUAAAGGGACAAUGGUUUAAUGGGAGUGAGAAAGAAGCUGAAAAGUAGGUGGAUAGUGUGGGGGGUUUUGGGUUUGGUGAGGUGUAGUAGUCAGUGGUUGUUGAAGGGCAGAGGGUGUGGUUGCAGUUGCUGUACCAAGGGACUCAGAGCAAGGGCACAGCGUAUCACUAGCGGAAGAUUUGUAGGUUUAGGGAUCAGGUGGAUGGCUUUGUUCUGCGUGUGGUCUUGGAUGUCAGUGAUUGGAAGGAGGUGCAUCGUUUCAGGGAUCUGAUGAGAACUACAGACUCUAUAUAGUGGUGGGGGGACGGAGGGGCAGGAUGGGGGCAUAUUUUAGGGGCCUUGUUAGAGUGCCAACAGUUGCUCAGGACUGAAAUUUAUGUCGGCUCCAAAACGGAAGCCCAAGAAUUUUUUCUGUCUGUGUGUCGGAGUGCUUGUUGUGUCUGUGUAUAUUUGCAUCUUAUAACCAAAAUGUAACCUCAAAGAUCUGAGACUUAAUGCUUCUAGUUAGUUGCUUAUUGAUGUCGUCCAAUAUCACGUACAAAAUAUGUUCGUCUGUUUAUAUAAUUAGAUGCUCUGAUAUUAUUGACAGAUUUAAACCAUUUUGAAGCAUGUUACAUCUCUCUCUCUUACAGCAGAGACUUGGUUUGUUUUUUGUUUUUGUUUUUUGUCUAGACCCUUGGCAUGAUGUGUUUGUUUACUUAUUUCUGUUUUUUUACAUUUCUUUCUGUGCUAUAAUGACAUGACUUACUCAACUAUUGAUGUUUUAUUUUAAUUCAAAUUUUCUUUUUUUUUUGUCUGUUCAUGCAUAUAAUGAUGUCUUCCCUUUUUUUUUCCACCCCUUCUAUUUUGCAAAGGGAUCUUUUUUUUUUUUUUGCAUGUUUGAUUUUAUUAAAUUUUUUCUUUAUUUUUUCCCCCGCCCUUCAUGUUGGAAUACUAAACAAAAGUACAGGACAAAAAAAUGUUUCUUUGUAACCUCGGCUCGACUUGGAUCAGGUUAUCUCAGUCCACCUGUUCGUUACAGCUAUUAAGGUUAAUGAUCUUGUUUGUUGUUCAGUUAGAACGAUCAUUUAGUCAAUGGGCUUGCAAUUUUUGGAAGGGCAUCCAGCCGUAGAAACACUGCCAGAUCUGACUGGGCCUGAUGAAGCCUUCUGGCUUCACAGACCCCAGUUGAACCGUCCAACCCAUGCUAGCAUGGAAAACGGACGCUAAACGAUGAUGAUGAUGAAAACAAGAGAAGACGAAAAAAUAUUCCUCAUUCCAAAUGACAUCAAAUUGGGCAAAUAACAAAAAAAAGGACAAACUUUGAAUGAAGUUGGGUGAUACUAAUUGUUGUUAACCUUACAAGAUCUUCGUUAAGUUUUUUUCCAUAGGUUUGUCAGUUCAUACAUUUGUGAAACCCUGCUUGUCCCAUCUCCAUCUGCUAAUCUGGCUGCUACAUUCAGCCACAUGUCUGCUCGAGACUGCUCUAAGAGUUUCUUCAAACACUCUUUGUAAAGAUGUCUAUCGAUUCUGCAUCUUUUUUCUCACCAUUUAUCGUGGCACCAUAUUGAAGUCUCUGGUUUUAUUUGGGCAGAAGAUAAAUAUUGAAAUAACAAUUAUUUCAUCUGAAUUGCAGAUCAGAGUUUAGAAAUUGAACAGGAAACAGUGAGCUUCACUUCAUUGUCAUCAGUUUUAUAUAUACACUCAGACAUAUAGCAAGAAGAUGGAACGAACAGAAUUUAAUCACAAAUCACAACAAUUGUUUCUGUGCACUGGCAACAGUUGUUAGUUGAGUUUUCCAUCUCAUUCUGUUUUGAAAAUAUUAUAUAAAUAUGAAGUUAUUAUCCAGAUGAUAUCACUGUAUCGAUCAGACUGUCAAAUGUUGCUACACACUGCUUGUCACAGUGCUUUUGAAUGAUGCCUCCCCUCUGGCUGAGCAGACAGGCCAACAGUUUUCCCUGAACAUUGUACAAGUCUGUCUGUCUGUCACGGGGUCACCCAUUUACCUGUAUACAUUCUUUAGUUGCUAGAUCUUGAAAAAGAUCUUUGUUAUAGCUUAUAAUGUCUUCUUGAGAUAUCAAUCAAUGUAGUUUAUGACCACCAGCUUAUUUAUUUAUUGUUUUUUGGGGGUUUUUUUCUUGCUAAACCUGAGGAGUCGCAUUGUCUCUAAGUCAGUAUGAGGCGCUGUGGGACAUUGUAUAAAUUUGGACCUUUGAGUAUUACUGGUAUCGUGUCUUCAGCAACAAAAACCAGAAUGUAAAUCAGAAAAUACAAGCAUGCAUCUUAGAUCUUCUGAAUGCCUCUAAUUCAGUCCAACAACCCCCAAGGGGUUAAGGGACUUGUCAGCCCACCCCCAAUGCUACUCACAGUCAUGUUAUUAGGUAUUCGGUUACUUCUUUGAUCCAGUGUGUUUUCCUCUGAAUUCUUGUUCCUGUAGAAUGGCUAGAAUUAAACGAGGAGAUCUUGUGGAUCUUUUGUCAGCCCAGCCUUUUAGUAUUCAGGUUUUUCCUUUAGAUGUGACCCUUGUUCAUUCACCUUGUUCUUAAUUAAUCAUGCAUUAUCUCAUAGCUUCGAUAUUUUGAUGAGGCAGUUGUUUGUUUUUAGAAUGACAUUGUAGGGUAGGUGUGAGAAGCCAGAUCUGGCUGGUUUGAGUUAUAAAACAAGGAAGAAUACUCGGGCCAGAUCUGGCUGGUUUAAAUGAUAAAGGGAUAAAUAUUUUGCUUCUGGUUCACUCUGUUACGAUUAAAAUGGUGAUUAGGUUUCCUUUUAUUUUAUUUUCCAUCAUUAUUUAGCUCCCUUGGCCCAUCAAGUGGAGGCACAUCGCUCAGUGGUUAGGAUGUUGGAUUCGUGACCGUAAGAUUGUGGUUUCGAUUCCCGGACUGGGUGAUCCAUUGUGUUGUUGAGCAAAACCACUUUGUUUCACGUUGCUCCAGUCCACUCAGCUGGUUAAAAGGAGUUUAGCCUGGAGAGGGAUAGGCUCCACCAGGCUUUCUUGCCCUACCUGUGCUGCAUAACUGCAGUGCCCCAACAACCAUCAAGGGGUUAAGGGACUUGUCAGCCCACCACCAAGAAUUGAUCAGAGACCUUCCAGCUGUGACUCCCCUACCCACUAUAUUCUGUCUUCUUAUUUAUAUGGUAAGGUGUUAUGUUUUGGAAUAAUGGCUGCUAUUUUUAGCACAAAAGGUCCCUCGUUGGUUCAAACUUAUUGUUAACUUUGUUGUUUAUUGGAACCAUGGAUGGCUUCAAGUUUUUUUCUUGGAGUUUUUUUUUUUAUCCUGUUGGACUUAUCUUUGUCUCAAAUAUUUCACUUCGUGGAUGUGUGAUGUCCAGCAAGUCUUGAUAUUUUCAAGGUGAUGUUUUGUCCUUCAUCCUUGUUUCGUAGCUAUAGCAACAAAGCCGAAGUUCACAACACUCUGGUCUGCUCUAUCUGUUAGAACUUUGUACAGGCUAUUGUUUUGUUUUUGUUUCUUUUUUUCUCUGUCUUUUUUACUGUUGCCUUAGAGGAGAAACUACAUCAACAGCCACGAUGUUCCACAGGGUCCCUGAGGCUGGUUGGUUGGUUGGUUGGUGGGAGUAGAGGAAGAAACCAGAAUUGCUGGGUCGCUGCUGCAGAAGGAUGGAAUAAAUCAGGAUAUCAAGUUAUCGAGAUUCUGGUUCACAUGUUAACAGUGGACCCUGUUGAAGGUACCCAAAGAUGGUGUCAUCGUCUCAAAGAUGACAGUGAAUUCAGUCUGUUGCCGAAAAAAUAAAAUCUCCCCUUGCAGAAUAACAGGCUUCUGCACACUUUCCAUUGACCCAAGUUUCACUUAGAAGGCUUGGCCCAAUGGAAGAAAUAGCAUAAGCACAUUGAGAUUGAACCCAGGACCUUGCGAAUGCAAUCUGAACCCGGUAACCAUAGUGUUGAUACACCUUCAACAAGUGUCACUGGUCAAAAAUGUUAGAAUCCUUAUCAAAUAAGUGGAUGGUUUUGUCUGUUUGCAGUUGCUGGUCUAGAAUUGGUUGUCUUGUUCUCAUUCCUGUUUUUCAAAUAUCUUCUGAGUAACCCCUGUCCUUAACGGUCCCUUUGAUCUGGCUCUUUGAAAAAAAA